rnacentral:rRNA from 1 species
UACGGGGGGAGCAAGCGUUGUUAGGAAUUACUGGGCGUAAAGGGCGUGUAGGCGGCCUUGUAAGUCGGGGGUGAAAUCCACUGGCUCAACCAGUGACGUGCCUUCGAAACUGCUUGGCUUGAGUAUGGCAGAGGAGAGCGGAAUUCCAGGUGUAGCGGUGAAAUGCGUAGAUAUCUGGAAGAACACCGGUGGCGUAGGCGGCUCUCUGGGCCAAUACUGACGCUGAGGCGCGAAAGCCAGGGGAGCAAACGGG